rnacentral:rRNA from 1 species
GACGAACGCUGGCGGCGUGCCUAAUACAUGCAAGUAGAACGCACAGUUUAUACCGUAGCUUGCUACACCAUAGACUGUGAGUUGCGAACGGGUGAGUAACGCGUAGGUAACCUGCCUGGUAGCGGGGGAUAACUAUUGGAAACGAUAGCUAAUACCGCAUAAUAUUAAUUAUUGCAUGAUAAUUAAUUGAAAGGUGCAAUUGCACCACUACCAGAUGGACCUGCGUUGUAUUAGCUAGUAGGUGAGGUAACGGCUCACCUAGGCGACGAUACAUAGCCGACCUGAGAUGGUGAUCGGCCACACUGGGACUGAGACACGGCCCACACUCCUACGGGAGGCAGCAGUAGGGAAUCUUCGGCAAUGGACGAAAGUCUGACCGAGCAACGCCGCGUGAGUGAAGAAGGUUUUCGGAUCGUAAAGCUCUGUUGUAAGAGAAGAACGGGUGUGGGAGUGGAAAGUUCACACUGUGACGGUAUCUUACCAGAAAGGGACGGCUAACUACGUG